GGAAACAAGUAAAAGUCAAUUUAAGGCAAGCACACACACACACACAGAAUGUUAAUGUACAUACAUGUGUGUGUCUGUGUGCUUGUCAGGAUUAGUAUUUUCACGCCCAUGUUCUUAUCCACUCUUGUAAACAAACAACAUUCACAAGAACACUGAAGCAGGUGAGGUGGGAGCUCGAUCCUGUCCCGACGACAAGUGCAGGAGUGACAGAACAAGCGACAGGUGUGUCCACACUUGAGUUGGGCUGCACAUGGCAGCACACACCCUCCUUCUGGAGACUUCUUGAAGUCCUGUCACCGACAAAACUAAUAUUUCAACAUUUUUAAAAGCUGUGUCUACCCAGAUAAGCCAAAUAAAUUCUUUAGUUUUGUUGCCCACAGUUGUGUCUGGCAUGGUGAGUACCUCAGCAGAGGCAACUAGUAUUUCUGUGUCCGGGUGGUUGUCGCAACAGAUGACCAGGUCUCUUCCGAACUGCUCAUGCUCUCUGGCUGUCGCGAUAAUCA